AUUGAACGCUGGCGGCAGGCCUAACACAUGCAAGUCGAACGAGCGGCGGACGGGUGAGUAAUGUCUGGGAAACUGCCUGCUGUAGGGGGAUAACUCCUGGCAAAGGUAGCUAAUACCGCAUACCAUCAGAUGUGCCCAGAUGGGAUUAGCUCGUAGGUGGGGUAACGGCUCACCUAGGCGACGAUCCCUAGCUGGUCUGUGAGGAUGACCCGCCACACUGGAAAUGAGAAACGGUCCAGACUCCUACGGGAGGCAGCAGUGGGGAAUAUGGCACAAUGGGCGAAAGCCUGAUGCAGCCAUGCCGCGUGUGUGAAGAAGGCCUUCGGGUUGUAAAGCACUGUCAGCGGGGAGGCGUUACCCGCAGAAGAGGCACCGGCUAACUCCGUGCCAGCCGCCGCGGUAAUUC
rnacentral:rRNA from 1 species